rnacentral:sRNA from 1 species
CUGCUUGCCCGCCGGCUCUGGAGCCUGCCUGCUGCCUGCCUGCUCUGUGCCCCUGCCCAGGCCUGAUCUCGUGGACUUCAGCAAACUCACCAAGUCCAAUGCCAACUACAACCUGCAGAGAGCCUUCCGCACAGCUGAGCAGCACCUGGGGCUGGCGCGGCUGCUGGAUCCUGAAGAUGUGAACAUGGAGGCUCCAGAUGAGAAGUCCAUCAUCACCUACGUGGUCUCUUUCUACCACUAUUUCUCCAAGAUGAAGGCUCUGGCUGUGGAGGGGAAGCGUAUCGGGAAGGUCUUGGACCAGGUGUUGGAGGUGGGGAAGAUCAUAGAACGCUACGAGGAGCUGGCGGCUGAGCUACUGGCCUGGAUCCACCGCACCGUGGGCCUCAUCAGCAAUCAGAAAUUUGCCAACUCCUUAAGUGGGGUGCAGCAGCAACUCCAGGCUUUCACGGCCUAUUGCACGCUGGAGAAGCCUGUCAAGUGAGGCCCAGCUCUGGAGGGAGGGUGGGCAGGGGUGGCAUGACGGCAGGGCUCCUGAGCUCAUGCCCCUUCAGGUUCCAGGAGAAGGGGAACCUAGAGGUGCUGCUCUUCAGCAUCCAGAGCAAACUGCGUGCCUGCAACCGUCGCCUCUUUGUGCCUCGGGAGGGCUGUGGCAUC